CUCUCUUUCUCUCUCUCUCUCUUUCUCUCAUCGUCAUCUUCUCUCAGUUGUAUUUAUUCUGCAAAGUCAACAUUCAUCUGAACUGGUAACUGCUCCUUGUCCUGAGAAGAGACCCUCCCAUUUAAGCAACACAAUGGCAUGUCCUCUAGGCAAUAGUAGAGGGUAUAUUGCUACUGGUCAACAUUAUACAAGUUAUGUAGUUGCUAGAGAGAGUCAGAGCCAAGGACACACUGCUAGGUCUUGAGGACAAAAAAAUAUUGUUGGGUUUUCCAAGGCUGAGCCACAAAUUUCCAUUCCAGUACCUAUUGGUCUUUUUGAUUUUUCCAUUGGUUCAGGGUCUUUAUGCAGCGUAUAUAGAUGAUAAAUGAAUGAACAUAUAUUUGAUAAUGGUGGCUAUCAACUUAAGUGGUUGAUUCUUCCAAGGAACAUAUUUAAAGUAAAUGAGAUAACCAGUCACACAAAGACUUGGGAGAAUGCUAUCAUAGGAACUUCAAGAAAUUUACUGUAAGUGGUAAGGAGAUGC
rnacentral:lncRNA from 1 species